GGCUCAGUGGUCUAGAGGUAUGAUUCGCCCUUCGGGUCACUCCCGUUGUAUCAAACACAAUUUGGGCGAGGUCCCGAGUUCGAAUCUUGGUUGAGCCC